rnacentral:rRNA from 1 species
AACGAACGCUGGCGGCAUGCCUAACACAUGCAAGUCGAACGAAGGCUUCGGCCUUAGUGGCGCACGGGUGCGUAACGCGUGGGAAUCUGCCCUUGGGUUCGGAAUAACUCAGAGAAAUUUGAGCUAAUACCGGAUGAUGACGUAAGUCCAAAGAUUUAUCGCCCAAGGAUGAGCCCGCGUAAGAUUAGCUAGUUGGUGGGGUAAAGGCCUACCAAGGCGACGAUCUUUAGCUGGUCUGAGAGGAUGAUCAGCCACACUGGGACUGAGACACGGCCCAGACUCCUACGGGAGGCAGCAGUGGGGAAUAUUGGACAAUGGGCGAGAGCCUGAUCCAGCAAUGCCGCGUGAGUGAUGAAGGCCUUAGGGUUGUAAAGCUCUUUUACCAGGGAUGAUAAUGACAGUACCUGGAGAAUAAGCUCCGGCUAACUCCGUG